rnacentral:lncRNA from 1 species
UAUUGUGUAAUGAUUGAAAUGCAAAUGCGUGGUAAGUAUUAUGUUAUAUAGUUCAUAUGAUUUCAUGAUGAUGAUAAUGUUAUUGCUUUCGUAUGUUGUUUUAUGAACUUCACCGAGGUAAGUGGACAGUAAAUGAUUUUAUUAUUGAUAAAAGAAUUUGUUAUAAAUUAUGCUCCAUUGGUUUUUUUGUGUUUUCUACCCACCUUUACCUCCGUGGUGGUGAG